rnacentral:rRNA from 1 species
UACAGAGGGUGCGAGCGUUAAUCGGAAUUACUGGGCGUAAAGCGUGCGUAGACGGCUAUCUAAGUCGGGUGUGAAAGCCCCGGGCUCAACCUGGGAAUUGCAUCCGAUACUGGAUGGCUUGAAUUCGGGAGAGGGAUGCAGAAUUCCAGGUGUAGCGGUGAAAUGCGUAGAUAUCGGGAGGAACACCUGUGGCGAAGGCGGCCCCCUGGUUGGAUACUGACGCUGAUACGCGAAAGCGUGGGGAGCAAACAGG